UAUGGAAUCUUCGGCAAUGGACGAAAGUCUGACCGAGCAACGCCGCGUGUGUGAAGAAGGUUUUCGGAUCGUAAAACUCUGUUGUUAGAGAAGAACAAGGACGUUAGUAACUGAACGUCCCCUGACGGUAUCUAACCAGAAAGCCACGGCUAACUACGUGCCAGCAGCCGCGGUAAUACGUAGGUGGCAAGCGUUGUCCGGAAUUAUUAGGCGUAAAGCGAGCGCAGGCGGUUUCUUAAGUCUGAUGUGAAAGCCCCCGGCUCAACCGGGGAGGGUCAUUGGAAAAUGGGAGACUUGAGUGCAGAAGAGGAAAGUGCAAUUCCAUGUGUAGGGGUGAAAUGCGUAGAUAUAUGGAGGAACACCUGUGACGAAGGCGGCUAUCUGGACUGUAUCUAACACUGAGGCUCGAAAGCGGGGGAAGUCGACAGG
rnacentral:rRNA from 1 species